UACAGAGGGGGCAAGCGUUGUUCGGAAUUACUGGGCGUAAAGGGCGCGUAGGCGGCCUGUUAAGUCGAACGUGAAAUCCCCGGGCUCAACCCGGGAACUGCGUCCGAUACUGGCAGGCUUGAAUCCGGGAGAGGGAUGCGGAAUUCCGAGUGUAGAGGUGAAAUUCGUAGAUAUUCGGAGGAACACCAGUGGCGAAGGCGGCUCACUGGUCCAUUACUGACGCUGAGGUGCGAAAGCGUGGGGAGCAAACAGG
rnacentral:rRNA from 1 species